rnacentral:lncRNA from 1 species
UGAUAUAUCUCUCAAAUAAUAUAUAUAUAUAUAGAGCAGGGGAGUUGAGCUAGAAUACUCUCAAAAACAUAAAGGGACGUGGUGCUUUUGAGUUUUUAGCCUUUGGAUAGGGAGAUGUAGGUUGGAAUUAAUGAUGGUGGUAGAUGGUGUUAGGUGGUGGUAGGUGGAAUAGUGUUUGAUCCAAGAACUAUUAGUAAUCAAGGAGUAGAUCCAAGGGGUAGAAACUUAAAAGCACUAAGGGGUUCGUGCUUCUAAAAGUAUUCUAGCUCAAUUCUAGAGUAUGGCUACUAUACUCUUAUGAGUAGUGGGCCCUUAGUACUCAUAAGUUAUUUUCGAUGAUGGAGCUUUCGAAUCGACGAUCCACUUCGUUAAAUAUGAUCUAGAGUAUUUGAAACUUCUAGAAAAUAAAAUUCGUAAUUUUUCGAAAUCGUAAUAAAGUCCAUCAAGCGGGCAUAAAAUGAAUGGUGAAAAUCGAACGACAUUUUAAAAAUGGACGAUCGGAUCCUUCAAUUUAAGAUCGGAGUUAUUGAUCUUUAUUUGAAUAAAAUUUUUUAUCAAAAAUUCAACCUAUUUCGAUUCUUUUCCACCGUUAAACUAGCAAGUAUCCCAUACCGGCCGUUAAAAAUUAUCAAUUUUGUGAACUUUUGAUCGUAAGGUAAAUGAUGUCGAAAAAUUAUGAAAUUUGAUUUCUAAAAGUUUCAAAUACUCUGCAUCAUAUUUAAUGGUGUGGAUCGUCGAUUCGAAAACUCCAACAUCGAAAAUAACUUAUGAGUAGUAAAGGUUCUAUACUCAUAUGAGUAUAGUAGCCGUACUCUAUAUAUAU